rnacentral:rRNA from 1 species
GCUUAGUCAUAAACCUAGGUAAUCCGAUAACAAAAUUAUUCGCCAGAGAACUACUAGCCACCGCUUAAAACUCAAAGGACUUGGCGGUGCUCUAAACCCACCUAGAGGAGCCUGUUCUAUAAUCGAUAAACCCCGAUACACCUCACCCCUUCUUGCCAAUACAGCCUAUAUACCGCCAUCGUCAGCUCACCCCAAUAGGGAACAAAAGUGGGCAAAAUCAUUCACCAUAAAAACGUUAGGUCAAGGUGUAGCAUAUGAAGGGGGAAGUAAUGGGCUACAUUUUCUAAAUUAGAAAACCAACGAACUAUCUCAUGAAACCCUGAGUCAUACGAAGGAGGAUUUAGUAGUAAAUUAAGAAUAGAGAGCUUAAUUGAAAUAGGCAAUAGAGCGCGC